AUACGGAGGGUGCAAGCGUUAAUCGGAAUUACUGGGCGUAAAGCGUGCGUAGGUGGUUUGUUAAGUUAGAUGUGAAAGCCCCGGGCUCAACCUGGGAACUGCAUUUGAAACUGGCAUACUAGAGUAUAGGAGAGGAAAGUGGAAUUUGAGGUGUAGCGGUGAAAUGCGUAGAUAUCUGAAGGAACAUCAAUGGCGAAGGCAGCUUUCUGGACUAAUACUGACACUGAGGUACGAAAGCGUGGGUAGCAAACAGGAUUAGAUACCCGGGUAGUCC
rnacentral:rRNA from 1 species